rnacentral:rRNA from 1 species
GACGAACGCUGGCGGCGUGCCUAAUACAUGCAAGUCGAGCGAAUGGAUUAAGAGCUUGCUCUUAUGAAGUUAGCGGCGGACGGGUGAGUAACACGUGGGUAACCUGCCCAUAAGACUAGGAUAACUCCGGGAAACCGGGGCUAAUACCGGAUAACAUUUUGAACCGCAUGGUUCGAGAUUGAACGGCGGCUUCGGCUGUCACUUAUGGAUGGACCCGCGUCGCAUUAGCUAGUUGGUGAGGUAACGGCUCACCAAGGCAACGAUGCGUAGCCGACCUGAGAGGGUGAUCGGCCACACUGGGACCGAGACACGGCCCAGACUCCUACGGGAGGCAGCAGUAGGGAAUCUUCCGCAAUGGACGAAAGUCUGACGGAGCAACGCCGCGUAAGUGAUGAAGGCUUUCGGGUCGUAAAACUCUGUUGUUAGGGAAGAACAAGCGCUAGUUGAAUAAGCUGGCACCUUGACGGUACCUAACCAGAAAGCCACGGCUAACUACGUGCCAGCAGCCGCGGUAA